UGAGUAACCUGCCCUUAACUCUGGGAUAAGCCUGGGAAACUGGGUCUAGUACCGGAUAUGACUCCUCAUCGCAUGGUGGGGGGUGGAAAGCUUUAUUGUGGUUUUGGAUGGACUCGCGGCCUAUCAGCUUGUUGGUGAGGUAAUGGCUCACCAAGGCGACGACGGGUAGCCGGCCUGAGAGGGUGACCGGCCACACUGGGACUGAGACACGGCCCAGACUCCGUACGGGAGCAG
rnacentral:rRNA from 1 species